rnacentral:misc_RNA from 1 species
UCAAACUUGGUCAUUUAGAGGAAGUAAAAGUCGUAACAAGGUUUCCGUAGGUGAACCUGCGGAAGGAUCAUCAAAGGGGGGAGGGCAAGGAUCUGAGGAUCUCUUGCCCCCAACCAAUCUUGUGUGAACUGUAGCGAGCAUACGCGUGGGUGUGUUGGUGGGGAAGGGAGUGUCUCUUGCCCACCGCCAUCACGCUUGCACAACUAUUCUGUUUAUCUUGUCUAACCUGUCACAAAUAACAACACAACUUUUAACAAUGGAUCUCUUGGCUCUCGCAUCGAUGAAGAACGCAGC